rnacentral:rRNA from 1 species
GGCCUGGCUGGGCGGUCUGCCGCAAGGCAUGCACUGCUCCGGCCGGGCCUUUCCUUCUGGGGAGGCGGCAUGCUCUUCACUGAGUGUGCCGCGGACCCAGGACUUUUACUUUGAAAAAAUUAGAGUGUUUAAAGCAGGCUCGCGCUUGAAUACAUUAGCAUGGAAUAAUGAAAUAGGACG